UUGGGGGGGGGAGACGUGAGAGCUGGAAUGAGAGACAUUGGCUGUGAAGCUAAUGCCAGUCUUGAGUUAGGCCUGAGGAACUAAGCUCCAAAUCGAUUGUGUUUGCAGGGAUAAAAUGAUUAUCAGUGCAAAAAGGGAGGAUAAGAGCUGAGAAAUGGAUAACAUUUCAUCUUAUGAAUAAAAAAAAAAGGGAGAAAAGAAGAAAAAGACUUCUGACUCAGGCACCAAUUGCUUAGCUUUAAUUGUCUAUGUGACUGCGAUUGCAAAGCUGUCUCCCGGCAUUUAGCAGAAGUGUUAAAGCAUAUUAGAUCGCUGCUGGGGCUUAAUGACAACAGGAAUCAUCCCAAUUCAGAAGGCAAUUAUUUAUCUGGUGACCUUUUACAAAGUGAGCAUAUGUACAUGCAUGCAGGAGAACAGAUCAGAGAAGCUGAAGAUACUGAAAAGAAGUUAAUGAUUGACGGAAUGAGGUCCCUGAGGAAGAGACAAAGCAUGGGCCCACAGCACAGACAGGUCUCACCAUGUUGCCCAGGCUGGAGUACAGUGAUGCUAUCACAGGCAUUGCAGCAUUGAAUUCCUACCUUCAAGUGAUCCUCCUGCCUCAGCCUCCUGACUAGCUGGGACUACAGGCACAUGCCACUGCACCUGACUUUUUUACUUUUUUGUAUUUUUAAUAUGUUUUUUUCCAGAUCAAUAAUUAGUUUUACCGAUGCUAAUAAUUCA